ACGCAUUCUUAUAAACCCCCCAAGAGCAGUGUUGUGUAGCUUCUGGGAUAUGAAAGAAUGCAAAAGAAAACCAAGAACUUUCCAAAGCUAUAUGUCUUUGCAGUGACUACUAGCUAUUUCACCUCUUGAACAUUC